CCCUGGUUAGCUCAGUUGGUAGAGCGCUCCACCUGUAAUGGAGAGGUCCUGGGUUCAAUACCCGGACCAGGCG
rnacentral:tRNA from 1 species